GCACUGCUGACGAAUCCGAAACAGGGCGAAACAGCUGUCCAGUGC
rnacentral:hammerhead_ribozyme from 1 species